rnacentral:lncRNA from 1 species
GGUAGUUUCCCGCUUCUGAGUCCCGGCCGUUGGCGGCUGUUGGCGGCCGUUACCUCCCCGUUGCCGGGAGGAGUCCGAGCGGAUUUAGAGUCCUCGGAAGUCCACCGUGCCGUCCGGCCACGGGUAGAGGGAGGCAAAGGGAAGGAGGACUUGACAGUGGGCCUGUCGGGGGCCAUUCGGUAAACUCCAAAGAGCCGAGGGUCCUGAGUGGGAGGGAGCCACGGGCUCGCGAGGAGGCUGCGAGGCGAUCCACGACCUUUCGGGAUGUGAUGCUCACCCGGGACGGGGCUGGGGGACCGCAGAGCCGUGACUCGCCCGGGACCCAGAGCAGAAACUCCAGGUCGCUUCUGGCAUUUUACCUGCAAAAGCAGAUGAGCACACGAGCCCAGAGAGCUGAUUUCCCCCGGUCGCACAGCUAGAGAGCCCAGGAUGGCUUCUUGCUCAGUGCCAUACUCUGUGAAAAUUAUUGGAGAGACCGGCCAGAAGGGAGAGGAAGUGAUGAAGAGGAUUAACACCCUGCUUCUAAUUCUGGCCACCUCAGAGGCUCUGCACGGAAAAUCAGAAGUGACAGGAAUCCUGGAAGAGGGCCACCUGGCCAUCAGAAAAUUCCAGAGAGAUGUGGUCACUGCCAGACAUACAGUCGACUUGGUGUCCCUUCCUCUGGCUGUGAGCAGAAAGUUCCUGACUUCCUCAAUGCUGCAACAGGUGGCCAGGAGGCAGCAGGAAGAGGGGACACCCUUCUGCACCCUUUUCAUAAACGAUAAAAAGAAUGAAGAAUGAAGUAGUUAAAGAAUGACUAGCUCCCUACCCACAGUAGCCCCCUUAGCAAUCCUGCUGGCAGAUCACUUGGACAAGAUGCCAUCUGAAGAGAGAGUCAGCCAGUCUGCACGCAAUGGAGAUGCAGAACCCAACCUCCUGCCUUGAUGAUUCCCUGAGAUUCUUCCCCCUUUUCUCCUGUAAAAACUGUCAUGGCUGAGCGGAAUCUUCAGAGCUGGUCUCAGGACACGAGUCCACCUUCUCCCCAGAUUGCCGGCUUUUCUGAUUAAAGCACCUUUCCCCUCUCCU